UAGAGGAAGUAAAAGUCGUAACAAGGUUUCCGUAGGUGAACCUGCGGAAGGAUCAUUAACGAGUCUUUGAAGUGGGUUUGAUGCUGGCCGUCUCAGGCAUGUGCUCGCCCCGCUCCAUCCUCUCAACCCCUGUGCACUUCAUGUUCGAAGAUGUGACUUCCCCUGCGAGGGGAGCAGCUCGGGAGACCGAGCCGGAGUCGCUCUUUGGGCACACACACAAACUCUUAUGUACCUGGAUGUAUACAAGGCCUACGGGCCCUAAACUAAACAAUACAACUUUCAACAACGGAUCUCUUGGCUCUCGCAUCGAUGAAGAACGCAGCGAAAUGCGAUAAGUAAUGUGAAUUGCAGAAUUCAGUGAAUCAUCGAAUCUUUGAACGCACCUUGCGCUCCUUGGUAUUCCGAGGAGCAUGCCUGUUUGAGUGUCAUGAAUUCAUCAACCCCGAAGGGAUUUUGUAUCCCUCUCGGUGGCUUGGACUUGGGGGAUUCUUUGCUGGCCUUCACCGGUCGGCUCCCCUUGAAUGCAUUAGCUUGGACUUGUCCCGGCGACGUCAUAGCGUGAUAAUUAUCUACGCUUUGAACCGUCUGUUGGUACCUCGUUGGUCUGGCUUCCAAUCGUCUUCGGACAAAGCACCUUCAUUUUGACCUCAAAUCAGGUAGGACUACCCGCUGAACUUAAGCAUAUCAA
rnacentral:rRNA from 1 species